rnacentral:lncRNA from 1 species
CCUUAAGUGCAAGACAUAAAAACCAAUAUUUUAAAUACCAACCCAAAAAAGAAAAAGGGUCAAGAGUCAAAAGGUCGAACUGGCAAAACCAAGAACAAGUCACGAGUUUUCCAUAAACCGGCCAGCUUAACAGGCUAAGAAACACCGACACGGACACGAGUGUCCGACACGAUACGUGUCCGACACGUCGACACGCUAUUUUUCCAAAAUGUUCCGACACGAUACGUCUUCGACACGUUGAUUAAAAUAUUAAUUUUAAUUUAUUUUAAUAAUUAAAAAUAAUAAUAAUUUUUUUUUAUACUUACUGCAUCUUGUAUAUAAAUAAUUAAAUAAUAAAUAUAAAUAAAAUAUGAUAUUAAAUUCAUAUAUGAAGGGUAAAAUAGUAAAAAAUUAAUUAACAUAAAAUCUUGAAUGUUGUUUAAAGUUGAAAAAAAGUAAUGCAUACUGCAAAAAAAUGUGUACAAUGCAUUAAUAUGACUAAUAUACUACGAAGUGCAUUUAAUAUGUUGGGUCCACUGAACCAGCAGCCUGCUUUGAAAAUUAUAGCCUGCUUUGAAAAUUACCCAACACAGACAGGUACUGUCUUCUCUCUCGUCACUUCUCUCUUUCUCUUCUUCUUCUUCUUCUUCUUCUUCUUCCUUUCUUCUUUCUUCUUUCUUCCUUGCCGUUACCGGAGCAGCAGUGCAGCCAACACAGGUACCGUUUUCUUCCUUCUUUCUUCACUUCUUCACCGUUUCCCUCCAGUUCGACACGCCGCAAGGAACCCGACACGUGUCGGCGACGUGUCUCCGACGUACCCGUGUCCGAUACGUGUCGGACACCGACACGCCGAUGCCGGAAGCGUGUCGGUGCUUCACAGUUAACAGGUUCUGGCACAGAUUUUUAAUUAGAGGUUUUAUAAGCCCUAACUAGACCAGUUUUGGUCUCAGUUCCUAGUUUUCUUGGUUGAAACAGCCAAGCCGGCACGGCUUUUAAAACAUUGAUAAAAAC